UAAUAAAGCAAGGCACUGAAAAUGCCAAGAUGAGUCGCACGACUCCAUAAACA
rnacentral:tRNA from 1 species